rnacentral:rRNA from 1 species
UAGAUACCCUGGUAGUCCACGCCGUAAACGAUGAUUACUCGUUGUGCGCGAUAUACAGUGCGUGACUGAGCGAAAGCAUUAAGUAAUCCACCUGGGGAGUACGUCGGCAACGAUGAAACUCAAAGGAAUUGACGGGGGCCCGCACAAGCGGAGGAACAUGUGGUUUAAUUCGAUGAUACGCGAGGAACCUUACCCGGGCUUAAAUGGAGUGUCUCUUCGGAGAUCGAUCAUGAAAAUGACUUAGAGCUUCAAGGUGCUGCAUGGCUGUCGUCAGCUCGUGCCGUGAGGUGUCGGGUUAAGUCCCAUAACGAGCGCAACCCCUAUCAUUAGUUGCCAUCAGGUUAAGCUGGGGACUCUAAUGAGACUGCCGCCGCAAGGCGUGAGGAAGGUGGGGAUGACGUCAAGUCAGCACGGCCCUUAUGUCCGGGGCUACACACGUGUUACAAUGGCCGGUACAGAGAGUCGCUACUUGGUAACAAGAUGCUAAUCUAUAAAACCGGUCCUAGUUCGGAUUGAAGUCUGCAACUCGACUUCAUGAAGCUGGAUUCGCUAGUAAUCGUAGAUCAGCAACGCUACGGUGAAUACGUUCCCGGGCCUUGUACACACCGCCCGUCAAGCCAUGGAAGCUGGGAGUGCCUGAAGUCUGUAACCGCAAGGAGCGGCCUAGGGUAAAACUGGUAACUGGGGCUAAGUCGUAACAAGGUA